ACACAUGCAAGUCGAACGGUGAAGCUCCAGCUUGCUGGGGUGGAUGAGUGGCGAACGGGUGAGUAACACGUGAGUAACCUGCCCCCUUCUUCUGGAUAACUGCUUGAAAGGGUAGCUAAUACGGGAUAUUCUGGCCUGCUCGCAUGGGUGGGUUUGGAAAGGUUUUUUCUGGUGGGGGAUGGGCUCGCGGCCUAUCAGCUUGUUGGUGGGGUGAUGGCCUACCAAGGCGGUGACGGGUAGCCGGCCUGAGAGGGUGGACGGCCACACUGGGACUGAGACACGGCCCAGACUCCUACGGGAGGCAGCAGUGGGGAAUAUUGCACAAUGGGCGCAAGCCUGAUGCAGCGACGCCGCGUGAGGGAUGGAGGCCUUCGGGUUGUAAACCUCUUUCGCCAGUGAAGCAGGCCAUCUUCUUUGUGGGGUGGUUGACGGUAGCUGGAUAAGAAGCGCCGGCUAACUACGUGCCAGCAGCCGCGGUAAUACGUAGGGCGCGAGCGUUGUCCGGAAUUAUUGGGCGUAAAGAGCUCGUAGGCGGCUGGUCGCGUCUGUCGUGAAAUCCCCUGGCUUAACUGGGGGCUUGCGGUGGGUACGGGCCGGCUUGAGUGCGGUAGGGGAGACUGGAAUUCCUGGUGUAGCGGUGGAAUGCGCAGAUAUCAGGAGGAACACCGGUGGCGAAGGCGGGUCUCUGGGCCGUUACUGACGCUGAGGAGCGAAAGCGUGGGGAGCGAACAGGAUUAGA
rnacentral:rRNA from 1 species